UUGAGCUGAACUGAGGAUGAUUGGGUAGUGUGAUGCAUUGUAAUGGGACUAGCAUGUCCAUUUUUAUCCACAGUGCAUAUACAAUUACUAACCUAUUAGGUGACUUCAAUGCAUUGUAGUCAUUUAAUUUGUUGACCUCAGCUUUGCUUGGAUGUUAGGGCUAUAAUCCACAUCUAGGAUGCUAUGCCCAUAACCAAAGUUUGCUAAAUUGACACGCUUACUAU
rnacentral:lncRNA from 1 species